ensembl:piRNA 21ur-634 ncRNA
UUAUUGCACUAUUCUUUGAAC